CACACUGGAACUGAGACACGGUCCAACUCCUACGGGCCGGCAGCAGUGGGGAAUAUUGGACAAUGGGCGAAAGCCUGAUCCAGCCAUGCCGGGUGUGUGAAGAAGGUCUUCGGAUUGUAAAGCACUUUAAGUUGGGAGGAAGGGCAGUAAAUUAAUACUUUGCUGUUUUCACGUUACCGACAGAAUAAGCACCGGCUAACUCUGUGCCAGCACCGCGGUAAUACAGAGGGUGCAAGCGUUAAUCGGAAUUACUGGGCGUAAAGCGCGCGUAGGUGGUUCGUUAAUUGGAUGUGAAAUCCCGGGCUCACCUGGGAACUGCAUUCAAA
rnacentral:rRNA from 1 species